GCAUUUUUUCAUUUACUGUAAAAAUAUAUUUUUUAAAUAUAAAUCCCCAUUUCUUCAAAAAAGGAAAAAGAAAUUGAGAGCUUGCGGUUGUUAUCCCCUGUUUUUUGUGAAUAAUGUUGUGUAUACAGUUUUACUUUGAAAAAGUUGUGGUUGUGUGGCCAUGUAGAUACUCCUGUUACUUUUUUUGUUCCAUGCGAUAUGACUACUUGAGAUGUUUUAAUGAGUCAGGGAACAUAUAAAACACAUCCAUCGUGAAAUAUCAAACUAUACAUAAACCACCAACGACGCGCGACGAGAACUAGCUGUCUCGUGAAGUAAGGGCAUAUCCAUGCACUUAAUUUCAUCUUUAAUUCCACAUCCUUAUAAUUUUCUAAAGUGCAGAAUCCCAUCUAGGGACUUCCAGUAUUUUCUCUUCCAUCGGUAACUUCCACUUGAAACCGUUCCCAAUGGAAGAACAGUGCACUAUAUCACAAAGGAAUGCCUUAUCUACCAUUGUUGCUCUGCUUAUUCAUCUACAAUGAGAUGCUCUUCAUGAAAGACAUAGCAUGGGCUGCAACCUUAACAGUUUCUUCCGGUUCUGCACUACUUACAAGAUCAGUGUUUUCUUCUUAUUUUGUCUUGCAUGAAUGAAAUGAUCAGUCUCUAUGGUGAACAUGAUCAUUGUAAUUUUUUGUUUGUUAUUCAUGCUGGGCUAAGGAGGGAAAUGUCUAAUUUUAUAGCA